CCAAUUACCAGCUCAGGCUUGGGUCACGCCCGGUCAGAGUGCAAACCCUCUGUGAACCAGAAAACAAAACCAUUCGCUUCCGCGGUUGGGUGGGUGCCCGCUCCUUCGUUGGACGGGUCACCCGUAAUCCCGCGGUUAGCACCAAAGUUUAACCUGUUCCUGUCCAAUCCGGUCUGAAUUGUCGUUUGACAAAAAACGAAUGAAAAGUUA
rnacentral:misc_RNA from 1 species